rnacentral:rRNA from 1 species
UACGUAGGGUGCAAGCGUUAUUCGGAAUUACUGGGCGUAAAGCGUGCGCAGGCGGUUAUGUAAGUCAGUUGUGAAAUUCCCGGGCUCAACCUGGGAGCUGCGCUUGAUACUGAUUGGCUUGAAUGCGGGAGAGGAUAGUGGAAUUCCCAGUGUAGAGGUGAAAUUCGUAGAUAUUGGGAAGAACACCGGUGGCGAAGGCGGCUAGCUGGCCCGUAAUUGACGCUGAGGCACGAAAGCGUGGGGAGCAAACAGG